AAUGUAUUAAUUUUAAAAGUAUAUAGACAGUAGGGGGUAAAAUAAAAUUGCUGUUUUAUAAGAAUGGAUAAUUAAAAUUGAAGCUAAAAAAUUUUAGAGAGAGACUAGGAUUAGAUACCCUAUUAUUCUAAAAUGAGAAUAUAAAAUUAAAUUAGUAGUAGUUAUAUACUUAAAAAUUAAAAAAUUUGGCGGUGAUUUAAUCUCUUUAGAGGAACUUGUUUUUUAAUCGAUAAACCUCGUAAAAUCUUACUUAUCUUUAUUUAAUUGGUUUGUAUACCAUCAUUAUCAGAUAAUUUUCAAAAAAUAAAUUAUUAACAUUGAUUAUUUAGAGAAAUUAGAUCAUGGUGCAGCUUAUAGGUAAGUCAAAAUGAGUUACAAUAAAUUAUUUUAUUAACGAAGUAGUAAUUGAAAUAUUACUAUAAAGGAGGAUUUAAUUGUAUUAAAAGUUUACUAAGCUUUUGAGAAAUAGGCGCUAAGUCAUGUACAUAUCGCCCGUCGCUUUCAUUUAUUACU
rnacentral:rRNA from 1 species